UGCCAGCUGCAGGUUGGUCUGAUCUCUCUCCUCCACCUCUUGGCUCUUCUGGUCGUAGUUGACGGCGAGCUCCUCCAGCGCCUGCAGCACCUCCUUCACCUCCUCCUUGGCCAGCUGGUUCUCCGUUUGCAGCCGGCACAGCUCCUCCUGGGAGGGACGUGGGGUCAGAUCUAUUCUUGUCUUCCAGCUGUUUGUACAGGUUGCUGAUGUCCUCCUCGUAUUUGCUCCGCUCGUGGCAACAAUAUUAUUUGACUUUUCUUUCACAAAGCUGAACUGUACCUGUAGGUCUGUCUUGAUGAGCGAGGCUCCUGCUUGGACCAGAUAAUGACAGAUAGUUCUUUGACACAGGGACGCAGCUCGGUGAAGGACCGUCUCCCCCCUGGUCAACAGAAGAGAGAGAGAGAGAGACAACAUCACCCGAGGAACAGACAUCAACGGUGUCUGCUGCUUCUUUUGGUGUCUUGUGUUUAUGAUGGCACAUAUAUCAUCACAUAUAGACCGAACAGAGAUCAGAGCACAGAUACAGACACAGCAUCAUCAUCUACACUCCGUUAACAUUUAAAUAAAGUGUUUAGCAUUUUAAAAACCUCAUGGUUUCAGUUCAAUGUUAGAUGUUUUCAAGCACAAAUAGAAUCUGUACUUACUGCAGUUUUUCUGUAACGACUAAAAACUACUUAAAAGGCAGGGUUGGUGAUUUUCUCCAGAUCCACUUUUUAAGAUUGUGGUUGAAAUUGUCUUUUGGUCCUGACAAUGAAAGCAAUGAGCUGAGGUCUGCU